rnacentral:lncRNA from 1 species
GGGCGGGGCGUGCGUCACGUGACGCCCAGGCGGCCUCCCUAUUGGCCAGACUCCGCCCGGCCGUGGGAGCUUUAAACUCCAGGCUGACCUACGAACCUGCGGCGAACGUCAUGCGCGCUUCCUGAUCCGUUACCUUGGAAACGGCUUAACCCUUUCCUCCGGCAAGAUGCUCAGGCGCUGGCCGGCCGCGCAGGACCGGGAAGGCCUAGUCCGGGCGAGUUGCACAGCCUCCUCGGCGGACCUCUCAUCCAGGCGGGAAGUCCCCGGAGGAUGCGGAAGACGUUUGGAACUUGGCAUCCUCGUGAUGAGGAGUCCUAACCCCUGUUUGGGAGAUGGGGGGUCAAAGGGUGCAACCCUCGUGCAUCCCAUUUCUGCAUUGGGCGGGCUGCUGCAGAUGUCAGGCACGGCUCCAGGCCGUGGAUUGAGCAGCGAUGGGGGCAGAGGAGUCUGGGUGCUUACGGGGGAGGAAGGGGAGAAGGACAACAAAUGUUGGGGGGCGUCAAGCUCAAUGCAAGGAAAAUCACAACAGUCGAUGCUGCGAUGGUGAUGGUGAUGAUUGGGCGGCUGCUGGAGGGGCGGGCCUUUGGAGGACACGCGGAAGCCGUGGUUUGCUUCAACCGCCAGGCUGACGUCGGAUGGAAGAGCGUUCCAGGCAAAGUGAAGAGCGAAUUCAAAGGCCUUGCAUUGGGUUUGAUGGGGGGGGGGGGGGGGGGGGGGGGGGAAUAGGAGAAAGUAAGAAGAAAUAAGCUUGGAGAAGUAAGCAAACAUAGGCCGCAUCCUGUAAGGCUUUGUAAGCUGAGGAAGGAAUUGUUGAGGAUUUAAAUGCAACAGAGAGCGAUGGAGAAUUCUUUUUUUUUUUUCUUUUAAGAUUUUAUUUAUUUAUUCAUGAGACACAGGCAGAGGGAGAAGCAGGCUCCAUGCAGGGAGCCCGACGUGGGACUCGAUCCAGGAACUCCAGGACCAGGCCCUAGAAUUCUAAAGAGGGGAGGGGGCACCUAUGCUCUACCCUUUUUGUCUCUAAAAGUCUUCCCUGCAGAGAAUGGAAUUUUUUUUUUUUUUUUAAGGAGGUCACAGAGGAAGCAAGGAGAUUGAGACUAGUAGUCCCAACACGGACACAAUCCUGAAAGGCCUAAUUUUCCAAUGACCUUGACAUUCCUUUUCUUAGAAUCCAUUAGGUCAGAGCCAUGGUGCCCGGCUGCUGCCUUUUGUUAAAAGCAUCUGGAUGCAUCUUCAGUUACUGCUGUUUAAUAAGAGAAAUGAGUGGAAACUUUUUUGUUACUUGGGAAAAUGAAUGUCCCAAAAGGAAAGUCAUUAUUGAUUGAUUGAUUGAUUGAUUUUUCUCUAUGGACACCACACAGAUAACUACCUCUUCUAUCUAUUCCUAAAGUCAGUUCUAUGAAAAAAAAAAACAACAACAACAUAAAGUCAUGUUCGGUGCAGAUAUUUAUUUCCUAAUUAUAAGAUGUGAAAAGAUAGAGGUUGAAGGUUUAGGAUAUGAAAAUGUUUCACUAAAAGAAUCAGAAAUCAGGAGACUGUAUUGCCACCGGAAGAUCUCUCAUUAACUGGUAAAGUGACCAAAUCAAGGUUCCUUAUCAUUCCUGAGUGUCAGCUUCCUUCAUACAUAAAACAAGACAAUUUAACUAGCUUACACACAGAGUGGUUAAGCCUGAAUUACACUUUGGCAUGCACGCAUCAGUAAGACGGAAGCUGGAAAGGGAAAUGAAAUUUUUGUAAAAUCUAAGAGUCAGCAGCGCAAGCCAAAUGAAAUUGGAUGCCCCUACUCUUGCGUGUGUGUGCACGCACACACACACACACACACACACACACACACACCCCAGCUGAGGAACUAUGAAACUGGUUCAUACAGAUACCAGGAAUGCUUCCCUAAGAAACCUUGGCCUUCUCAGAGUGUGAAAACGGAAGCAUUGCCACCUGUUCAACUUCAUAUUCCCUGUAGCUAUUUUGAACCCACGUAGUAUUUAAUAAUGGUUCACAUGUUCCUGAUCAAGAUUUAAGAAAUAGAAAAUCUUUAAAAGAUCCGAGGCGACAUUUUAAAGUUAAGCUAACACUUUAAUGUUAAUGAAAAUAAGAUUUCAAAUAAGCACUACUUUUUAAAGGGGAAAAAUGCUAAAAAGAGAAAAGGCAUUAUUUUAGCAAAUUAAGACUAUUCUUUUAAAAUGCUGAAAAAAAUGGAGCGCUCUCUUUUGCGUGCUGUUUGCAGUCCUCGUAAUGAUUAACUGAAACAGCUGCUUGGUACUUCUAAUGUAGUUGAACAAUGGACUCCACUCCACCACUCUUACAUAUAUUAAUAGAGCCAUAAAUCCUCCCAACUCACCCUAGCAAGACAGACCUUGGUCUCUUUUGCUAGCUACAAUUAUUUGGAGUACAAUGAAUGUGAAGUGAGAAAAAAUUGAAGAUCAAGAUCCAUUUCUGUGGAUGUCCCUAGUUCCUGGAUUCUUUUUAAAAGUAUUUUCUGUCUUAACAGCUUUAUUUAUUUAUUUAUUUAUUUAUUUAUUUAUUUAUUUAUUUUUAAAUUAGCUUUUUAUAUUUUUUUUAAUUUUUAUUUAUUUAUGAUAGUCACAGAGAGAGAAAGAGAGAGAGGCAGAGACAUAGGCAGAGGGAGAAGCAGGCUCCAUGCACCGGGAGCCCGACGUGGGAUUCGAUCCCGGGUCUCCAGGAUCGCGACCUGGGCCAAAGGCAGGCGCCAAACCGCUGCGCCACCCAGAGAUCCCAACAGCUUUAUUUAAAUAUAAUCCACAUACCAUACAAUUCACCUGUUUUAAAGUGUACAGUUAAAUCUGUUUUGGUAUAUUCCCGGAGGUGCAAUCAUCACCAAGAUUUAAUUUUAGGACAGUUUUGCCCCCCCCCCCCAAAAGAAACUCCACCCAUUAGCAGUCAGUCCCCCACCUCAUCCCCAGCCCUAAGCAACCACUAAUCUACUUUAUGUCUCUACAUUUGCCUAUUCUGGGUAUUUCAUAUACAUGGAAUUAUACAAUAUGUGGUCGUUGGUGUCUCCAUUCACUUAUAAUGUUUUCAAGGGUCAUCCUUUGAAACCCUUGUGUUUCAAGGGUUUGUACAAACCCAUCCUUUGUGUUGUAGCUUCUGUCAGCAUUUCAUUUCUUUUUAUUGCCAAAUGAUGAUUCCACUGUAUAGACAUAGCACAGUUUAUUUCUCAUUUUAUCACUUAGUAGACAUGUGGAUUGUUUCCACUUUCUGGCUCUUAUGAAAAUAAUGCUUUGAGCAUUUGUGGCCAGGUUUUGUGUAGAUGUUGAUCAUUCUCUUUCAAUACUCAAUAAAAUUUAUCCUGUUUACAAAGUCCAUAUUUCCUUGCCUAGCACAGUUACUUUGCUCCUACCUUUGCCCUUCUUGCCUGCUGUUUGAAGUAAGUGCUCUUCUCCCCACAGGGCUGGCACUUCUACUGAGGCAGCUCACUCCUCUGCUUAAAAAGCCUACAGUUGCUUCAUAUGAUUCCACCCAUGAUCUACCUUACUCUCUUCUGCUAUUAUUUCUCCCUCUCAGAAAGUCUUUCUUACAGUUCCUUAAAGUAGGGCCAGAUCCUCCACGCUUUGGAGACUUCCCACACACUUUGCAGACUUCCUUCAGCAUCAGGUGUUUUUUCCCUAUCUGCCCCCUUAGCCUCUGAAUGCCCAUGAAUCCUUCAGCAUUCAGCUGUACUCUCAUUUCCUUAAGAACCCUUGUCCUAAAAAAAAAAAAAAAAAAAAAGAACCCUUGUCCUACCUCCCCAGAUGAGGUAAGCUCCUCCCUAUCUGGACUCUUAUUUUUUUUUCCCCAAUGCAUUUAGCAACAUAUGAUUUUUAUUUGAUUAUUUGGUCUUUCUCCUCUAAUAGACGUAGAAUGUAUAAGUAGGAACCACAUCUGUUAUUAAUUACAUAUGCCUGGCACAUAGUGUUAUUAGUUACUCAAUACCUAUUAAUUGGAAGGAAGGGGAGUAGGAAGGAAGGAAGACAGGAAAAAAAAGACGAGGGAAUGGGGGAAGGAAGGUAUCGUCACAGCUUAUUCUGUGUUCUAUUUUUCUCUCCCUUGUAGUGUUGAAAUAAAUUUCUAGGCCCAAGAUGAAACUGCUCCUGCACAAGGUGCCACCUCAGCAAACCAAAACUUAAAUAACUCUCCUGUCUGUGUAAAUGUUCCACUAGAUCAAAACUGCAGUAUGUCGGGUCAGCCAGUCCCCCGAAACCAAGCCAACUCGGGGCUCUAUACUUAUUUCUUUGUUCUUUCUCCCUCCAAACAAAGUUGACUAUGUGGCCCCAGCCAAUCAGAUAUUUUCUAUUUUUCUUUUCCUUGUUCUUUUUUUCUUUAUUCUAUAAAAGCCUCCUGAUUGCUGCCCCACUUUGCAAUUCUCCAAAGGAGACUUUCCACUUCAUGAAAUACAAAAUAAAGUUCAUUUGUAUCCCCUAAAUUGUUUAAUCAUUUUUUUAACACUAGGAAUCUUCAGUAAAGCCUUGAUAAGCGUUAUAAACCAAAACUGCCCUGUGGUAAGGGGAAUUAAUGGAAGGCCCAUUCUAUGCCUGAGAGGGUGUAGGAGGGGACACAAGUAUCCCCUGUCUGUCCUCCCUAUAGAAAGGGGUGUGGAGAGGGGAAGACCAGUGGUGUACUAAGGAGCCAAGGCAGCAGUGUGAUAAGUCAGAGAACACAAGCUCUAGGUGCACCUAAAAUUGAACUGAGGAAUGUCUCACAUGUCCCCAGGGAACAUUUUAGUGAGCUAAUUUCCAGGAAUCAAGUUGGUAGUCUCCUCUGAUGUAAUUUUGCAAUUUAAUGGAAAUGUUAACUUUCAUUUGUUUACAUAGUCUAAUAGAGCCAAGACAUUUAGGUUAUAUGCACAUGAAAGAAUUAUAAGCCAAGCAAGUUGCAAUGAUUUGUUCUAGAUCACAAAGGGGCACUAAAUACCAUAGCUCAGACUAAAUUUAGCUGAUCGCCUGGUUCUACCUAUCAAUGGAACUAAGCAUACUACACAAAGCUAGCCUCUCAACUUAAUCCCCCUAAUGACCUUUCGACUACAAAGGCAGGCAUCAUCUUUCCCCAGGAGCUUUACCCUAGCAAUCUCU